ACGAGAUAGUACUGUUCAUUUCUCUCGUGAUCUUGUGUACUCUGUGCGGUGUCCCAGUUAGCAUCUCAAGGAACUCAGAAUGGCAGAUGGUAGACCGCUGGCAGUGGGAGUCCCCUAUAGCAGAGUCACAUCAGAGUCCGGUCACGUGACCACUCACGAAAACACUGCUCUUUCGAGCUACCGGUACCUUGCAUGGUUCACUAUCUUCUGCUGUUCUGGGCCGCUCGGAGGCGCGAGAGUUUUCAAAGAGGAGAUAUUGCCAGGGGUAACAAGGCUGCUCGAACUUCUCGGGUUCUCUGCAUUGUGGGCAUUGCUAUUGGUAUAGAAAUCUAUCUUACAGCGAUUAUCGUCGUGACUAUUAGUUUUUACUAUAAAAUUAAAAACGAGAACCAUGACGAUAACAAUUACUAGCAUUACAAAACCUUCUGACUGGUUGUGACCGUUGAGAAACGGAUAGAAUCUAUGUUUUACUAUUUUUAGUGCAAUACUUUUCGUUGUUUGUGUUGUUAUGUUUCUUGUUGCAGCUUGCUAUUA